rnacentral:sRNA from 1 species
CUUGAUCAGACAACUUGGGAAUUCAGAUCAUCCUCGGGAAGGUGCGCCCAAUCACGCCGCCUCGCCGAGGCC